rnacentral:rRNA from 1 species
CAGCAGCCGCGGUAAUACGAAGGGUGCAAGCGUUACUCGGAAUUACUGGGCGUAAAGCGUGCGUAGGUGGUUGUUUAAGUCUGUUGUGAAAGCCCUGGGCUCAACCUGGGAAUUGCAGUGGAUACUGGGCAACUAGAGUGUGGUAGAGGGUAGUGGAAUUCCCGGUGUAGCAGUGAAAUGCGUAGAGAUCGGGAGGAACAUCCAUGGCGAAGGCAGCUACCUGGACCAACACUGACACUGAGGCACGAAAGCGUGGGGAGCAAACAGGAUUAGAUACCCCCGUAGUCCCUGUCUCUUAUAC